rnacentral:rRNA from 1 species
UACGUAGGGUGCAAGCGUUAAUCGGAAUUACUGGGCGUAAAGCGUGCGCAGGCGGUUAUGCAAGACAGAUGUGAAAUCCCCGGGCUCAACCUGGGAACUGCAUUUGUGACUGCAUGGCUAGAGUACGGUAGAGGGGGAUGGAAUUCCGCGUGUAGCAGUGAAAUGCGUAGAUAUGCGGAGGAACACCGGUGGCGAAGGCAAUCCCCUGGACCUGUACUGACGCUCAUGCACGAAAGCGUGGGGAGCAAACAGG